rnacentral:lncRNA from 1 species
CCCUGUAGAGUAUUACACAUGUUGCUUGUAUAAUAUACCCACUGGACAGUGCUGAUCUAGGCUGUUUAUAACUAUAUUUUUUCUCUUUCCCUUUCCCAGCCUCCGUUAAAGAUAAGGUUGACCAUGGGAUCCAAUUCUGGCCAAUGAGACUUGAGCAGAAUUCUGCUGGGAGUUUUCUGGGAGUUUUUUAAGAAAAUUUCAACUCCUGGUAAGAAGGGACUGAAACCGCACUGCUCUUUUCUUUUUUUUCUUCUAACUUCUUUUCCCCUAGAAUUGACAGGAUGGCUAGAUUCCCUGCAGUUAUUUUUUAAAACCAUUUUUGAAUGGCUUAAUAUUCAAGGGAGAAAGACCAAGAGAAUCACAGAGAUUUUUGUCUUUGAAAACAUUGAUUUAUUGCUACCAUAUAAGAAAAAUGACAUUCUAUUUACAUAAACUACUAUUGUGUCCACAUUCUGUUCCUUAGAACCAGAUGAAUUAUUACCUGAGACAGUUGUAUCCAGUGCUGUCUUCAGGGCGGAUUGGAUUGUGUGGAGCCAUAAUCUUGUUCUCAGAACCCCCUGACUGCCAGGAAAAGCUUGCGCAUCCCUGAUCUAGAUGGUUGUAUCAUGUGGGAGAGCAAGUUACAGAACUGAAAAAUGGAAAGGUUGUCCAAAGACAUCAUGGGUUUGGAGUGUUUUUGACCUAAUAUUUCUUGAAGGCAGGAAGAUGUCUGUGCUCACCAUCAGUGGCUCCAUUUCCUUAAAGGAAAUCAUCUAGGGCACAUAAUAGCAAGCUAAGUACAUUCUUCUUGCUUACUUGAUUUGAAAGAACAGAAAUAAUGCAGAAAGAUAUUUCUAUUUGGGAAAUGAAUUAAAACAAAACAUUUAUAAUAAUGUGACCUUAGAAAGUUACCUAAUCUUUCUGAGCUUCAGUGCCUUUCUCUGUAAAAUGGAGAUAAUAAAAGUACUCACCUUACAGGGUUAUAAGGAUUU